rnacentral:rRNA from 1 species
AAUAAGCGGAGGAAAAGAAACCAACAGGGAUUGCCUUAGUAGCGGCGAGUGAAGCGGCAAGAGCUCAAAUUUGAAAUCUGGUACCUUCGGUGCUCGAGUUGUAAUUUGAAGAAAGCUAUCUUGGAUUUGGCCUUUGUCUAUGUUUCUUGGAACAGGACGUCAUAGAGGGUGAGAAUCCCGUGCGAUGAGGUGUCCAUUUCUAUGUAAGAUGUUUUCGAAGAGUCGAGUUGUUUGGGAAUGCAGCUCUAAGUGGGUGGUAAAUUCCAUCUAAAGCUAAAUAUUGGCGAGAGACCGAUAGCGAACAAGUACAGUGAUGGAAAGAUGAAAAGAACUUUGAAAAGAGAGUGAAAAAGUACGUGAAAUUGUUGAAAGGGAAGGGUAUUAGAUCAGACUUGGUAUUUAGUUAUCAUUGCUCCUUGUGGGUGAUGCUCUAGCUUUUUACUGGGCCAGCAUCAGUUUUGGUGGCAGGAUAAUGACAUAUGAACGUGGCUCCUCGGAGUGUUAUAGCUUUUGUUGAUACUGCCUACCGGGACUGAGGUCUGCGGCUUUUGCCUAGGAU